rnacentral:rRNA from 1 species
UACGGAGGGUGCGAGCGUUGUCCGGAAUUACUGGGCGUAAAGCGUGCGCAGGCGGUUCGUUGUGUCGGCGGUGAAAGCCCCGGGCUUAACCUGGGAAUGGCCGUCGAAACUGGCGAACUGGAGUGUGGCAGAGGGGGGUGGAAUUCCGCGUGUAGCAGUGAAAUGCGUAGAGAUGCGGAGGAACACCGAUGGCGAAGGCAGCCCCCUGGGCUGACACUGACGCCUCAGGCACGAAAGCGUGGGGAGCAAACAGG